GUCCCCGCAGGUCACGGCCCCGUCCAUGAGGAACUCCUGCGGGUGUCGCAGGUUCGAAUCCUGCCGGGGGCACCA
rnacentral:tRNA from 1 species